rnacentral:rRNA from 1 species
UAGCAGUGAGGAAUAUUGGUCAAUAGCCUAACGGCUGAACCAGCAAUUUGGAGGAAUGUAUAGGUAAACUAAUUGUAUUAUCUAAUAAGAUAUUACAAUAUCGACUAUGUCGGCUAAAGUUCUAGGUAGAGUUUUGAUAAUGACAUUUUCUACCUAUAAGUCUUGACCAAAUCACGUGCCAGCAGUCGCGGUAAUACGUGGAAGACUAGUGUUAUUCAUCUUUAAUAGGUUUAAAGGGUACCUAGACGGUAUAUCUAGCCCGAAAAGGGUACUGAUAAACUAGAGUUUAAUAUGUGGGGGAUCCUAGUACUAAUGGAGUAGAGAUGAAAUUCUGUCAUACCAUAAGGAGACAGGUAGCGGCGAAAGCAACCCUUUAUGUAAAAACUGACGUUGAAGGACGAAGGCUUUGUCACAAACAGGAUUAGUUACCCCAGUAGUCUAAGCAGACAACGUUGAAUGCCAUAGAUUAGAUAUUUCUUCUAUAAAUGAAAGUGUAAGCAUUCCACCUCAAGAGUAAUUUGGCAACAUAGAAACUGAAAUCAUUAGACCGUUUCUGAAACCAGUAGUGAAGUAUGUUGUUUAAUUAGAUGCCACGCAAAAAACCUUACCACAAUAUGAAUUACAAGCGUUGCACGGCUGUCUUCAGUUAAUGUCGUGAGAUUUUGGUUAACUCCAUUAAAUUAACGUAAACCCUUACUUUAUUUUUAUAUAAAGUAGUUCGCCGCUAUAUUGGUUAAGAUAGAAGGGACUAAGACAAGUCAACAUGACCUUUACAUUGUGGGC